UGAAAGGUGCAAGGUCUUUGUCUAGAUA
rnacentral:piRNA from 1 species